rnacentral:misc_RNA from 1 species
AAAUGCGAUAAGUAAUGUGAAUUGCAGAAUUCAGUGAAUCAUCGAAUCUUUGAACGCACAUUGCGCCCGCCAGUAUUCUGGCGGGCAUGCCUGUCCGAGCGUCAUUUCAACCCUCAGAACCCCUUGCGGGAUCUGGCGUUGGGGAUUGGCAUCCAGCCAGCCCCGAAAUCUAGUGGCGGUCCCUCCGCGACCUCCCCUGUGCAGUAGCGAUACCUCGCAGCGGGACAGCGGUCUGACCACGCCGUAAAACCCCCAACUUCUCAAGGUUGACCUCGAAUCAGGUAGGAAUACCCGCUGAACUUAAGC